rnacentral:tRNA from 1 species
AAAAAUCUCGGAACAAGGAACAACCUCUAAUUUUUGGUGUUCUUUAUUUGAAAACGUUAGAGAUUUU